AUGUCUGCGCAUCUGCAAUCGGUGAUCAUGCGGAACUGCUCCAGUUUCCUGAUCAAGAGGAAUAAACACACCUACAGCACCGAGCCCAAUAACUUGAAGGCCCGCAACUCCUUCCCGCUACAACCGGCUGAUUCACUGCAAGACUGUGGGCGUGGAGCCGGCAGCCCAUGGCAGAGGUGUCCUGGUGGUCACGAAGCGGAGAUCCGGCCAGCGGACGCCUGCCAUCUCCUACGUGCGGACCAUCAUCAACAAGAACGCUGGAGCCAAACUCAGCAGCAUCAGAUACAUGAUCCGCAAGAACAAGUACCGCCCUGACCUGCCAUGGCUGCCAUCAGCAAGGCCAGCGCCAUCCUGCGCAGCCAGACGUCUGUGAUGGUGAAGAGGAAGCUGACCAGCCCCACAAAGAGCUUGUGA
rnacentral:lncRNA from 1 species